rnacentral:lncRNA from 1 species
CCAAAAGCAGGCGUAGAAGCCGAUGGUUCCGGUGACAACAAAGAAUGCAUACGAUGCAAUGAGCAUGUAUCCGAAGUAUAAGAGGGCCGAGACCAGCUUUGUGAUUUCAAGCUUUGUGAAGAAGUAGAAUGUGGCGUAGAGGAAGAGGUACAGAGCCGAUGAGCCAGAUGUGAGGUAUGAUCUCCACCACCACAAGUAAUCCUCGCUGCACAACUGGAAGUAGCAGAGGACGAUGGUGAUCUCAGCGCAUGUGAUGAUGAGGAUGAUGAAGACCAAGAAGAGGAAACCAAAGAUGUAGUAGAACUGGUUCAGCCAAAUUGAAGUGAGGAUGAAGAAUAGUUCGAUGAAAACUGCUCCGAAUGGGAGGAUCCCUCCAAUCAGAAUUGAGAAAACUGGGUUCAUGUACCAGGCCUGUUCUGGGAUCUGUCUUGGGAUUUUGUUUGUCUUCACUGGGUCCUCAAGUGCUGGCUUCCUGAACCCAACAUAGCCUCCCACAAAUACGAGUGGGACUGAGAUUCCGAACCAUAAAAAGACCAGGGCAAACAUUGUGCCAAAUGGCACAGCUCCAGAUGAUUUCUGGCCCCAAAUCAGAGUGUUCAAGACAAUGAAAAUGGCAGAGACAGUUGCUGGGAACAUGACAGCAGUUCUGAAUGCAAUUUUCUUCCAUUCUGUACCUUUAAACAUCUUGUACAAGCGAACAGAGGCGUAACCAGCAAAAAUUCCCAUGAAGACAAAAAGCAAGAGCAUUGCAGUCAUAAGACCGCCCCGGUUAGAUGGGGAGAGGAAGCCAAGGACAGCAAAAAUCAUUGUCACCAGUAUCAUUCCAAAGAACUGAACACCAGUUCCAACAUAUACGCAGAGCAAUUCAGAGUUAUUUGGAGCCCGGAAAACAUCCCCGUGGACAAGUUUCCAUCCUGUCUCUUCUUGCGCUUCUUCCUGGGUCUCAAGUUCAUUAUACUUGGAGAUAUCACGGUAGAGUGUUCUUAGCAUAAUCAUCGCUACCAUACCCGAAAGGAAGAGGACAAUCAUCAAUGAGUUGACAAUUGAAAACCAAUGGAUUUGGUCGUCACUCAUCAGUAGAUAAGCAUCCCAUCUAGAAGCCCACUUCACAUCACUCUCCUAAACAAGUAGACAUGAAAAGAAGUAUCCUAUGAGACGACUAGUUCCUCACAAAUCACAAAGUAUUUAUGACAAAUAAAUGAUGCUAUAAUAAGCAAACAGUAGACAGUAAAUUAUGAGUUAUAAUUCUCCUAUGAGAAAAUACCAAGUAAAAUUUUAAAUUAAUGAGCUCACCUGGAAUUCAACAUCAUAGGUAAAUACGAUUUCUUGCUUUUCGGCAACCUCUUGAGGAGAGUUAGAAUUAACAACAGUGUGUUUCGAAUGGGGGUCACAGGUAGUUAAACGAGUCUUUGCAUCAUUCCAUUUCCCUUCAUAUUCAUGUUUAACACUGGACAUUCAACACACAAACAAACCAUAUUACCAACUGAUAAUUUAGAAAGAAGAUUCAGCAAGGAGGAAUCAUUCAAGAGAAAAGCAACCCCCUGGAAAAACCGACCUGAAUGGUUUAACCUCAAAUCCCACGAUUCUUGCUGUUUCAGUUUGCGAAUCUCUAUGGUACUUCACAGUAAAUGCCAGAUGGUUGUGGAUGAAGUAUUUCUCUUCUUUGCUCUGAGCACAACAACAUAGCAUAAGAAAGAGAAAAACAUAAUCAUCCCCGAAUAAGAAAGUUAUUUGGUGCCAACAAAUAAUGGACAUACCCCAGCAUAAUGGCCUUUGAGCCCAACGUGGAAUCCAAGCUGAUAAACUGUAGGAGCGUCUUGGUCUGGCCUUUGAAUGGGAAAAACUAGAGGUAGAUUAUCAAGGAUCCUGUCAUAGAAAAAGAAAGUCUUAAUAAGAUAUGUGACUUCGUUUCAGUUCCUCUAAUAUAAAAGAAUACAUCAUUUAAAGUGUCAGAAAAAUACAUGUUCACUCGAUACUCAUCAUCUAUCUUCUCCUUAAACUGCUUUACAAUUUUGGCAUCAGGCGUUAACCGGCAGACAAUGUUGCACAUCUGAGGCUCCCGCAUUUUAAACUGCACAAAUCCUGUUGUAAGUUUAUGAACAUAGGAGAAACAAAUAGCCAUAGCGUUGUACAGGUGAAAUAACACAAACCACAUAGGGGGAGUUCUCGAUCCGGUCACCGCGGAGCACUUCCCCAAGAUUCUCUGUACUGUCCAAGAUUUUAUCAGGUUUGCAGUAACGGAGAGAGUAAUAUGAGUAUGGAAGCUGAGUCUUUGUAGAAGUCAAUUUGUUCACUUUAACUUUCAAAUCAUCUCCCUGCAUUCAAAGAUCCAAGAGAACGAAAUUAAUACAAAACAUCCACCGAGGAAAAGCACUUUGCUUCUCAGUCAAGUGAAGUAAAACAAUGACGAAAUUUCAAAUCUAAUUUACGAGAAAUAAUUCAAAUUCCACAAUCAACAUUUGUAAUGCAGUGAAACCUAAAUGACGAUCUUCUUAGAGUACUUGCUUAGGGCAUAUACAGAUCGAUAUCGGACCAACCAAGAUCUGAUGUGCCGCGAAUUACUCUCACAAUUACAUUGCUCUACGCAUCAAAGUAUUAAUAAAACACAUCCUAAGAAAAUCGAAGAAAUAUACAGAGCAAAAGAACACAUAUCAAAACCUACAAAUCUCAAGAUUUGAACUAUGCCAGAGGUCAACUAAACCUAAAUCGACAAUCAUUUCAAUAGCAGAGUAGCGACCAAUCGAAUUCACGAUAACCUAACCUCCAAAAAAAUUCACGAUAACUUUAUCUCCAAUCCUUCUAUUUUCCUCCAUUUUCUCGGCAACCAAACGGACGAAACCUAACACUAGGUCACAGAUCCGAACAGCGAACACGCAGAUCACUCAUUUCAUACAAAAACACAUACAAUUUCAACAAAAAAUCGAAAUUAAAUGAAAUUACAGAUUAGAUUUGUCGGCGAUUGGGAGCUGACCUUGAUGAAGUCCUCCGGAGCGACGCCGGGGAGGUAGAAGGAGUGGGCGCCAUGGACGAGAAGUAAGAGGAUCACAGAGAUCGCCAGGACUGCCGGAGAUCUACGAGAUGCCAUGGCCUCCGAUUGAGAGAGAAGAGGAAGGGUGUGCAGAUCUGGAGGAGGAGGAGGAGGAGGAGGAGGCGAAGGAGGAGGAGGAGUUAGUUUAUUGGUUGGUGGUGUAAUGGCGUUUAAUAGUUGGAUUCGUAUUUGUCUGUCGCGUAGAAAUAAAAUAAAAUUUUAACUAAAAAAUUAAAAAAUUAGAGUUGAAGAAAAAAAAAAUAUUAAAAAGGGAACAGAGGAGGCGACUGGAAGCUUACAAGGCGGGUGGACUCCGCGCUUUCUCUCCGGUGAGAUCUGGUGUACGUGUGGGUCCCUUUUUUAUAAAGAUAUGAUACAAAUAACGAUACAAAUAUUUGGUAUGAUUUCUUCUUUAUUUUUUAUUUUUAUUUUUUUUGCGGCACGUUAUCCAUUUUCUGAAUUAUAAAGGAAAUAUACUAUGAUAUAAAGCCACUAUGGUAUAACAUGCUAAUUUUAUUAAUCGUUACGUAAAUAUCAAGUUUGAGAUCGAUUACUGUUGGAUUGUCUUGGGGAAUAUGACUUUGCUCACGCACAACGUUUUGUGUUUAAAAUUUUUUUCUAACUCUAAUUUGGUUGGUUAUUUUAUUAAGACGGUGAAUAUGACUAUAUGAUCUCUGAGUUGAUUAAUGUCUUUUCAAACGAUAUAUUACUACUUUAAGUCCGUUAACAUGACGAUCUCAGACUUGAUUGAUUUUAUUUUUCAUAAACAAUAUUUAUAUGAUAGUUGAGAAAUUGAAAUCUUCUGAUUAAGACGUAUAUAGAUGGUAAAAAAUGGAUAAUCAUAAAUGGGUAAAUAAUUAAUUUUCACUAUUUGAUUAGAUCCGUUUCCUUUAAAUGAAUUUUCUAAUUUGCUAGGAAUUCCUUUUUUGUAGCUUUCUUUUUCUUUUAUGUUAACGCAACGACUUGUCGUUUGUGCUUUUUUGUCAACUAUAUAUGAAUGUUACGUGAACCCAAUGUGUAUGCCACUUUAGUGCAUACCUGAAAUUUUGGUUUGAAUCUGGAAAUAGGAAAUAUGAGUAGGACACUGAUAUAUCCAAUUUAAUACACUACUGAUUUUUUUUAUUCUUUUUGCAAUUUUUAUUUAUUUAUUCCCUUGAUUUUUUAUUCAUCAAUCCAAUUUAAUGACAAAAAAUAAAUAUAUAUUAUAUAUUUCCGGGUUAGGUGUGUUUUGCAAUUGGACACGUACGCUGAAAUGUUAAGAAACAUGUUCUUAUCACAUACCUGACUUGAGAAGGCUCGGGUAAAACCCUUAAGUUUUUGGGUAAAUUAUAUAAAAUUACCUCAAUUAUGAGUCGAACCACAAUCUCAUACCUCAUAUUUUAAAAAUUACAAUGUCAUACCUCAUCUUACGAAUUUGUUACAAUGUCAUACCUUCGUCAAUUUUUCUAUCAAAUUUUCUGUUAAAUGUUGAUGUGGCCUGAGAUGAGAUCCACCCCCUAACCCAACCGGAUUAAAAAAUUAAUUAAAUAUUAAAAAAAUUAAAAAUACAAUUAUUUAACGUUAAUUAUAUUAACACCUUACAAAUUGUUGAAUAAACCCCACAAACUUAAUACACCCCACAUUUGCUUUUUCACUUAAAAAUUAUCUUAAUACACCCCACUUACUUUCCCAUAAUACCCCCACACCCCACAUUCUCAAUAUACAUCUUAUAUUUUGUACAUACACCCCACAUUUCUCAAAUCUUAUAACACUCAUUUUUAAUUUUCAGGGAUUGAAUCUAACCAUAUGUACAUUAAAAGAUGAAUAUGAAUAUAGAAGUUUAAAUAAUACAGCAAAACGCAAGAUUAAAUAAUUAUCAAUGUCAUCGAAAUCACUAAAACAAUGAAAACUAUGAAGUCUUACCUCAUGCGAAGCUCCUGAAACAUCGAUUUCGUGUUCCAUUCGUCAAAAACAAUUUUUCUUAAUCAACAUGUUUGAUAGUUGAGAAGAUAAAUAAUACGCUAAAAGUGAUUUGGGGUGUAUUUAUAAAUCUUUGUUUUUUUUUAAACCUAAUAAGGUCAAAAUUGUCAUUACAUAGUAGAGUAAAUAAGUCAUUUAAUAUUAAAUUUUAAUGUGGGGUGCAUUCAACAUUUUAUGGGGUGUUAAUAUAAAAACCCUUAUUUAAAUAUUUUUAUUUAAAAAUGUGGGACCCGCCCCUACAAACCCAACAUCCUCACCUUCUUCCCUAGCUCACAUGUCUCCCCCCCCCCCCACCCCAACCUUCCUCCUUUCACCCCAAAACCAAAACCCAUCUCUACCUCCCUCCCAAUGACGCUCCUCUUCUCCAGCAACCUUAGAAUCAGGUGUGGGUCCACUGCGACGCCCUUUGGGCUCUCGACAUGGGCCUUUUUAUAAGCAUCCCAUUUCCCCUCAGCUCACCCGUCUCCCCCCAACCUUCCUCCCUUCACCCCAAAAACAGAACCCAUCUCCGCCUCCCUCCCAAUGACGUUCCUCUUCUCCAGCAACCUUAUAACCAGGUGUUGCUCCACCGUGACACCCUCUGGGCUCUUGAAAUGGGCCUUUUUACAGGCAUCUCAAUUCCCAAAGUUCUCUACUUUCAAAAGGAUGGCUUUGAAAUUGGUUUUUGAUUUUGAAAAAAGAAUUUGGUUUAUGAUUAAAUGGGGUUUACAAUUGAUUGUUAUAAAAUGCAUUUCAAUUUGGGGAAUUUCAAGUGUGGAUUUUUGCCCAUAUUUUCUUGAACUGAAUUAGUUUUUCGAGUUCGAGAUCCCAACCCAAAUUAUGCCUCUUCUUGCAGUCGUCAGAUUUUCUAUUCUUCCUCUGCCCGCCCUCGCCUUCCACAAGCCUAGAGAAGGUCCUUCAAAUACCCCGCAAACGGUUUCAGAUUGCAGGUGAGGGUUUUUGGGGUGGUGCUCAAGAAAGUCCUUGACGGAAUUGACAUCGGCAACAAAUUGGUAUGCGGUUGCUUGCUUGAGAAGAAUGAGGUGCCCUUUUUUUAUUUUAAAUUGGGCUAGUUAAUGAUGACUCGGGGGAGGAGAUGGGGGAGGAAAGGGCAGCAGUGAGGGAGUGGGUUCUGGUUUUGAUGGUGAAGGUAGGAAGGUUGGGGAGGGGAGACGAGUGGGCUGGGGAAGAAGGUGUGGGAGAUGGGUUUGCAAGGGAAAUAUUUAAAUUAUUUUAUUUUUUUAGUUUUUUUAAUAUUUAAUUAAUUUUUUAAUCCAGUUGGGUUAGGAAGUGGGUCCCGCCUCAAGUUACGUCAGCAUUUAACAGAGAAAUUGAUAGAAAAACUGACGGAGUUAUGACAUUGCAACAAAUUCGAAAGAUGAGAUAUGCCAUUACAAUUUUUAAAACAUGAGGUAUGAAAUUGUGAUUCAACCCAUAAUUAAGAUAGUUUUGUAAUUUACCCUAAGGUUUUUUUUAUGCAAAAUCAUAUCAUGUUAUGGUCCUCCUUUUAUGGCUUGACUUAGAUUGGACUAUUUUAGAUUUAGUCUAGCAUCAAUGCCGAUGUUUAGUGAAUUUGUAUACGCUAAGACAAGAUUUUCCAAAUUGGGCAACGGUCCAAUAUAUUAUUAUGUCUUACCUGUCUCAAUUAUAGUUGCGUGACUCAAUAUGAUUGGAAUUAAACACAACUCCAAUCAUAUCAAGAGCUUGUUUCGAAGUGUUUUUCAAAUAGUUAAAAUACCUCUGGUGAAAAUAUUUUUGAAACCAAACUUUAACAAAAAUGCAAGUGAAUCUUGAAAAAACAGCUAAAAUACUUUUGAAAUUCAAAAACAUCUCUAAAAUCGUAUUUAGUCAUUUUCAAAAGUAUUUCCAAAAAAUUGCGAGUUUUCUUUGCCAAUAUAACAACUGAUUUUGCCAUGAUAUGAAAAAGAAGUAGAGAGAGAAAAGAACACCAACGGCUAAAAGCCUAAAACACCAUGUUUUGGGUCGGUGUGGUGUCGAAAGUUUGGUUUUGCUGCCAACCUAGGAACUUGGGUUGGGCCCUUAGUUUGUGCCCAAGUUUUAUAGGCCUUAUUAUUGAGUUUACUUGCAAACAUGACCGAUGUAGCUCUCCGUCCAACUCAUUUCAAAGUGGUUCGACGUGAGGUGGCAUGUUGAAUAAAGUAAAUUUUUUUACAUCGGCAAUCUUACAAAAACAAACCACAACUUAUAUUAAAUGGUUUCACUUUUAAUUAUAUCGAGGUCUUUUGCAUAGAAACCCUAAACUUAUUGAUUGCACAGAUGCUUAAUUAGGGACACUAUCGAAGGAUCUUGCUCUUUGCAUGGAGAAUGCAUCCACUUGAACAAAAGGAGGGGACGGAUAAGCAUCGUUUACUUGUUCAAUAUCCUUUCGGAGUAAUGACUUGAAGUGGACAUGCAUCAUCUUCAUCUACUUGUACCAAAACAAGCGAAAAACCCACAGAAAAUCACUCUCACUACUUGAUGGACGGACAAAGAGAGUGAGAGAGAGCCAACUCGGUUUCCUUCCUUUUUUAAGAUUUGCACAACCUCAUAAAUAUAUGUAUAUUAUGAAGUUGAAUUUUCUGGUUGUUGCUUCUUGAUAACCCUACAUUGCCACUUGCACUAUGUGGGGGUCAAUCGAUCUUCAGUUUAAGUGAGUAUGAAAUGAGUUGUAAAUAGCAUAUAUGUGAGUAUGAAAUGAGUUGUAAACUCAAUCGAUGUUUAAGUUUGAAUUCUCGUAAGUAGGGGUGGACAGAAAAACUGCUCAACCAAACCAAGCACCAAACCAAACCGAAAAUAUUAAUUAAUGUUAAAAAAUUCAUAAUUUUAUGAACAUUUAAUUUGUUGAAAGCAGUCCAGUUGAACCUUCCUGACCUAGGUUUAAAUGACAUGAUUAUGACUCAUAAGCAUAAUACUAUUUCAGUUUACCAAAGAAAUUCCACACAAGACGCAUUAACACAACUCAAAACCCACAUGAAUAUACAAUGUGAUGAGACAUGAUUAACACAACUUUUCUCCUUUUUCAAUAAGUAGUAUGAAUUAUUCUACUAUUCUAUUAUGAUUUUCAUAUCAGCCUGCAUAUUGAUCAACACAUACUUAACACAAGCACACAACACAAUAUAAAUAAGUAACACGAACACAACUCGAUGGUCACCCCCACAUAUGAUUUCGGAUUUCGGUUACUUAGGGUUUAGGACACAAGCCAAAUUUCAUUUUCACGCUACAGUGUGUGUACGUGAAAGAGGGAGGGAAGGGAAGCAGAGGUUGAUAUGUGGGUAAAUGUCCAGCUUUAAGAGCAAUAAAACCUGGACAGAAUCUUCUAAUGUGUAACCCAAACACCAUCAAACAAACCCAAAACGUGCAACUUAUAUUCUUCAAAACACACCAAAGGCAUAUAUGGUCCCCCACAUUGCCUUAUUUGCCAAGCAAAAAAGCACAUCAAAGAUCAAACCCCUCCUCGUCUCUAUGAAGUUGCAUUGGCUUGGGACCCUCAUAUUUUCUUUCUUCCUUUCUAUCAUAUAUAUAUCAUUACUUUAUGAUGGGUAGGUUCAUGACAUGUUUUACUUAAUCAAUGCUCUUGAUUAUCUACUUAAUGAAUGAUUUUUUGGUGUGACAAUUACAAAUUCGCUUAAGGUGUAACAUACAAGUUUAUCUAUUGAUUUUACAUUCUAGGUUCAUGACAUGAUCUCAAUGAUCAGCAAUGUGGUCUAAGAAAGUGAAGAAUUUGGAAUACGAUGAGUUUUGUUUCGAUCUUCUCUAUUACAAAGAAAGUAUAAAUUUUGAUUAUAUUUCACAACAAAGGUUUUUACUAGCAAAUCGAGACUACUACUGUAGGAAAACGUCUAGAUCAAGAUAAAUUUUGCUAUACAACGACAACGUUUAAGUUCAAGAAAGUGAAGAAUUUUACGAUGAGUAGAUGAGCCUCGUGAACCAAAAGCAGGCGUAGAAGCUGAUUGUUCCGGUGACAAUAAAGAAUGCAUAAGAAGCAAUGAGCAUGUACCCGAAGUAUAAGAGGACCGAGACCAGCUUUGUGAUUUCGAGCCUUGUGAAGAAGUAGAAUGUGGCGUAGAGGAAGAGGUACAGAGCCGAUGAGCCGGAUGUGAGGUAUGAUCUCCACCACCACAAGUAAUCCUCGCUGCACAACUGGAAGUAGCAGAGGACGAUGGUGAUCUCAGCACAUGUGAUGAUGAGGAUGAUGAAGACCAAGAAGAGGAAACCAAAGAUGUAGUAGAACUGGUUCAGCCAAAUCGAAGUGAGGAUGAAGAAUAGUUCGUUGAAAACUGCUCCGAAUGGGAGGAUCCCUCCGAUUAGAAUUGAGAAAACUGGGUUCUUGUACCAGGUCUGUUCUGGGAUCUCUCUUGGGACUUUGUUUGUCUUUACUGGAUCCUCAAGUGCUGGCUUCCUGAACCCAACAUAGCCUCCCACAAAUACGAGUGGGACUGAGAUUCCCAACCAUAAAUAGACCAGGGUCAACAUUGUGCCAAAUGGCACAGCUCCGGAUGAGUUCUGGCCCCAAAUCAGAGUGUUCAAGGCAAUGAAAAUGGCAGAAACAGUUGCUGGGAACAUGACUGCUGUCCCGAAUGCGAUUUUCAUCCAUUCUGUACCCUGAAACGUCUUGUACAACCGAACUGAGGCAUAACCGGCGAAAAGUCCCAUGAAGACAAAGAGCAAGAGCAUUGUGGUCAUAAGACCACCCCGGUUAGAUGGGGAGAGGAAGCCAAGGACAGCAAAUAUCAUUGUCACCAGUAUCAUUCCAAACAAUUGAACACCAGUUCCAACAUAUACACAAAGCAAUUCAGAGUUAUUUGGAGCCCUGAAGACAUCCCCGUGGACAAGUUUCCAUCCUGUUUCUUCUUGCGCUUCUUCCUGGGUCUCGAGUUCAUUAUACUUGGAGAUAUCACGGUAGAGUGUUCUUAGCAUAAUCAUCGCUACUAUACACGAAAGGAAGAGGACAUUAACUAAUGAUUUGACAAUUGAAAACCAAUGGAUUUGGUCGUCACUCAUCCGUAGAUAAGCAUCCCAUCUAGAAGCCCACUUCACAUCACUCUCCUAAACAGGUAGACAUGAAAAGAAGUAUCCUAUGAGAUGACUAGUUCCUCACAAAUGACAAAGUAUGUUCAACACCAUUACAUCAGAAAUAUUAGGGCAAAAGACAUACGAUAGUAGUUCAUGACAAAAAUAAAUGAUGCUAUAAUAAGCAAACAGUAGAUAGUAAAUUAUGAGUUAUAAUUCUCCUAUGAGAAAAUACCAAGUAAAAUUUUAAAUUAAUGAGCUCACCUGGAAUUCAACAUCAUAGGUAAAUACGAUUUCUUGCUUUUCGGCAACCUCUUGAGGAGAGUUAGAAUUCAAAACAGAAUGUUUCGAAUGGGGGUCACAGGUAGUUAAACGAGUCUUUGGAUCAUUCCAUUUCCCUUCAUAUUCAUGUUUAACACUGGACAUUCAACAGUCAAACAAACCGUAUGACCAACUGAUAAUUUAGAAACAAGAUUCAGCAAGAAGGAAUCAUGCAGGAGAAAAGGAACGCCCUGAAAAAAACUGACCUAAAUGGUUUAACCUCAAAUCCCACAAUUCUUGACGUUCCAGUUUGCAGAUCUUUAUGGUACUUCACAGUAAAUGCCAGAUGGUUGUGGAUGAAGUAUUUCUCUUCUUUGCUCUGAGCACAAUAACAUAGUGUAAGAACGACAAAAACAUAAGCAUCUCCAAAUAAGAAAGGUAUUUGGUGCCAACAAAUAAUGGACAUACCCCAGCAUAAUGACCUUUGAGCCCAACAUGGAACCCAAGCCGAUAAACAGUACGAGCUUUUUGAUAUAGCCUUUGAAUGGGAACAACUAGAGGUAGAUUAUCAAGUAUCCUGUCAUAGAAAAAAAAGUCUUAAUAAGAUAUGCGACUUUGUUUUAGUUCCUCAAAUAUACUAGGAUAAAUCAUUUAAAGUGUCAGAAAAAAUUAAAUACAUGUUCACUCGAUACUCGUCAUCUAUUUUCUCCUUAAACUCCUUUACAAUUUUGGCAUUAGGUGUUAUCCGGCAGACAAUGUUGCACAUCUGAGGCUCCCGCAUUCUAAACUGCACAAGUCCGAUUGUAAGUUUACGAACAUAGGAGAAACAAGUAGGCUUAGAGUUGUACAAGUGCAGUAACACUAACCACAUAGGGGGAGUUCUUGAUCCGGUCACCAUGGAGCACUUCCCCAAGAUUCUCUAUACUGUCGAUGAUUCUCUCAGGCUGGCAGUAAGGGAGAGAGUAAUAGGAGUAAGGAAGCUGAGUCUUUGUAGAAGUCACCGUGUUCACUUUAACCUUCAAACGAUCUCCCUGCAAUAAUUCAAAUUCCGCGAGGCAAAGCACUUUGCUUCUCAGUCAAGUGAAGUAAAACAAUGAUGGAAUUUCAAAUCUAAUUUACAAGAAGUAAUUCAAAUUCCACAGACAGCAUUUGUAAUCCAGUGAAACUAAAUGACAAUCUUCUUAGAGUACUUGCUUAGGAGUUAGGGCAUAUACAGAUCGAUGUCGGACCAACCAAGAACAGAUGCGCCGGGAAUUACUCUACGCAUCAAAGUAUUAAUAAAAAACAGCCUGAGCAAAUCAAAGAAAUAUGCAGAGCAAAAGAACAUAUAUCAAAACCUACAAAUCUCAAGAUUUGAACUAUGACAGAGGUCAACUAAACCUAAUUCGACGAUCAUUUCAAUAUCAAAGUAGCAGCCAAUCGAAUUUACGAUAACCUACUCUCCAAUCCUUCUAUCUUCCUCCAUUUUCUCGGCAACCAAACAGACCAAACCUAACACUAGGUCACAGUCACAGAUUCGAAAAGGAACACACGGAUCACUCAUUUAAUACACAAACACAUACAAUUUCGACAAAAAAUCGAAAUUAAAUGAAAAUACAGAUUAGAUUUGUCGGCGAUUGAGAGCUGACCUUCAAGAAGUCCUGCGGAGUGACGCCGGGGAGGUAGAAGGAGUGGGCGCCAUGGACUAAGAGUAAGAAGAUCGCAGAGAUCGCCAGGACUGCCUGGGAUUUACGAGCUGCCAUGGCCUCCGGCUGAGAGAGAGAAGAGGAGGAGUGUGUAUGUCUGGAGAGGAGCCGAAGGAGGAGUUAGUUUGUUGGUUGGUGUUUAACAGUUGGAUUCAUAUAUACUAAAGCCGAAGGAGGAGUUAGUUUCAACCUGACCCAACCACAAUGGCGAUUCUCAUUGGAGGAGUUAGUUUCAACGAAGUAUUAAAUAUCCAUGAUAUCGGAAAUAUUGUUAAUCCAAAAAUAUAGAAAUUUCGAUAGAAAUAUCGGGAUAUUAUCGAUAUCGAUAAAAAUUGAAUAAAAACCACGGAAAUUGUAAGAAAAACUUGGAAAUUUUUAUUGAAACUUUGCAGGAUGUUUAUUUAGUCAAUUAUCUAUUAGUUUAUCAUAAAAAAUUGUAAGGAAAUGCAUUGCAUGAUAGAUAUAACUAAUUUAAGUUGAUUAUAUAGCGAGCUGGCAAGGUCUAAUACCUUGCAUGGUAAGAUACAUGAGUGACUUAGCAAGGUCUAAAAUAUCGAUGAUAUCGGUAGUUCAAAAACAUGUAAAUUUCGAUGAAAAUAUCGAAAUAUUAUGAAUAUUUUAGACCAUGAUUUCAACCUGCACCACAUAGACGAUGAAAAGAAAUCAACGUUCAACCCUUUCACACCCAGAUUAUAUAGUAAUUAGUGACCAAGUCAUCAAGGCAAAACUCCAUAUCAAUCGUACGUCUAUAAUUGCAUAUUAAUUUCCAGCUCCACGUUGAUUCGAUAAAGAUCCUCUGUCUGGUUUGAUGAAUCCCAAUUAUAAUAUGUCCUAGUCGUUUCAGCUGACUUUGGUUAGAAUGAAUAAUAUAUUUUAAUUUCUUUACAAUUACUUGGAAAUUUCCAAUUAUAUCUUACGUUAAUAGAAAGAUAAUUAUAAAUAGGAAAUUAAUUCUUUAAUUUUCUUUUGUCACCAAAGAAAAUUAAGAAAUGCGAAUUAGAAAUGCUAGUUUCAACAACUUCAUUUAAAAAUAUUCCGAAUAAUAUACAAUUAAUAUCACGCUAGAGUCUAGGACAAAUAAACCUACUUUGAUUAAUGUCACGUCAAGAACGGUCAAGAUGUGACAGGGGCACUUUUGUAAAUAUGAUAUAAAAACUGUGAAGCAAUCAUCUUCAACAUUGCAUCUUUCCGGGCACAUAUGAACAUAAAAAAUAAAUUGACGUUCUACACGAAAUCUUUCACACCCAGAUUAUAUAGUAAUUAGUGACUAAGUUAAGUGAAGGCAAAACUUCAAAUCAAUCGUACGUGUAGUAUUGCAUAUUAAUUUCCAACUCCACGUCGAUUCGAUAGAGACCCUCUGUCUGGUUUGAUGAAUUCCAAUUAAAAUAUUUCCUAGUUGUUUCAAUUGACUUUGCUUACCAAUCAGAAUAAAUAACAUAUUUUAAUUUCUUUACAAUUACUUUGAAGUUUCCAAUUAUUUCUUAGGUUAAUAGAAAGAUAAUUAGAAAUAGGAAAUUAAUUCUUUAAUUUUCUUUUGUCACCCAAGUAAAUUAAGAAAUGCGAAUUAGAAAUGCUAGUUUCAACUAUACAAUUAAUGUCUCGUUAGAGUCAAGGACAAAUAAACCUACUUUGAUUAAUGUCACGUCAACAAAACAGUCAAGACACGGCAGGGGCACUUUUGUAAAUAUGAUAGAUAUUUUGGGGCAGUUUUAUAAAUAAAAAACUUCUAUUGUGAGUUUUAAUUGUUAUGUUUGUGUUUUAAUCAUUAUGUAUGAUGAACACUAGUAUUUUGUUAUAUUGUGAGUUUGAAGUAUGUUUUUUAAUAUAUGUGAUAUUUAUUAGAUUUUAAUCGUCGUGUUCUAGCCGUGUCUUUAUUUUUUGAGUUUUGUCGUGUCGCUGAGUUCAUAGGAUUGUAUUUGACCUGUUGAAAAAUGGCCAUGAACGAUCUAGUAUCAUUAACAGCAGCUUUAGGGCGUGUUUGUUUGACCUUCUUAGGGGGGACUGGACUGGACUACACUAAUUGGUAUUGUAGUCUGAUGUUUGGUAGGGGCAAGGAUUAGGUUUAAUGGGAUUAGAUCCGACUCGCACGGAUUAAACCCCUCGCUAGGAGUUCUUAGCGAACCACCCCAAAAACGUCCGGAUUCGUAAGACCUCCUCCCUCACGUCGUCCUUCUCAUCCGAUUGCGCUAUUGCGAGAAAGAACCUCGGUCAUCCUAGGAGAGAGUGUCGUCGACGUCCUCCUCCCUCACGUCGUCCUCCUCAUCCUCAUCUCUGCGUCCUGCUCGCCGUCAACUGCAUCCUGGUCGCCCUCAUCUGCAUCCUGCUCCUCAUCUGUUCCUCUCGUCGUCCACUCCCUCGUCUUCACGUAACAGAUCUGCUCGCCCUCAUCUGCCUCCAGUUGUCUGGUAAGCUUCGAUUGUUCGAUUUUUUUCGUCGAUUUGAGUCGAUUUAGGUGGAUUUUUUUCAUCGAUUUGGGCGGAUUUGUUUUGGGUUUGAGCUUUAUUUGAUUCUGCAGUUGAACAAAUUUUAGGGUUUUGAUAUUUAGGUGAAAUUGAGAUUAGAAAUUGGGGUUUUCAUAAAGCUUGGAAUUUGGGGUUUGAAAUUGAGAUUAGAAAUUUGGAAUUUGGAGUUUGAAAUUUGGAAUUUGGGGUUUUCAUAAAGCAGUGUGUGUGUAUGUAAGUAUGCAGUAGAAAUUUGGAAUUUGGGGUUUGGAAUUUGGGGUUUUCAUAAAGCUUGGAAUUUGGGGUUUGAAAUUGAGAUUAGAAAUUUGGAAUUUGGGGUUUCAAAUUUGGAAUUUGGGGUUUUCAUAAAGCAGUGUGUGUGUGUAUGCAGUGUGUGUGCGUGUGUAUGUAUGUAUGCAGUGUGUGUGUGUGUGUGUAUGCGGUGUGUGUGUGUGUGUGUAUGUAUGCAGGGUGUGUGUGUAUGUAUGCAGGGUGUGUGUGAGUGUAUGUCAGUGUGUGAGAGUGUGUAUGUCCGUGUGAGUGCAGUGUGUGCAUCUGACCAGUGUGUGUGUGUGUGUAUGUAUGCCGUGUGUGUGUGUGUAUGUAUGCAGUGUGUGUGUGUGUGUGUGUGUGUGUAUGUAUGCAGUGUGUGUGUGUGUAUGUAUGCAGUGUGUGUGUGUGUGUAUGUAUGUAUGUAUGUGUGUGUGUGUGUGUGUGUGUAUGUAUGUAUGUAUGUAGGGUGUGUGUGAGUGUAUGUCCGUGUGUGAGAGUGUGUAUGUUCGUGUGAGUAUGUGUGUGAGUGUGUAUGCAGUGUGUGUGUGUAUGCAGUGUGUGCAUCUGACCAGUAUGUGUGCAGUGUGUGCAUCUGACCAGUGUGUGUGUGUGUAUGUAUGUCGUGUGUGUGUGUGUGUGUAUGUAUGCAAUGUGUGUGUGUGUGUUUAUGUAUGCAGUGUGUGUGUGUAUGUAUGUAUGCAGUGUGUGUGUGUGUAUGUAUGUAUGCAGUGUGUGUGUGUGCGGGUGUAUGUAUGCAGGGUGUGUGUGAGUGUAUGUCCGUGUGUGAGAGUGUGUAUGUCCGUGUGAGUAUGUGUGUGAGUGUGUAUGCAGUGUGUGAGUGUGUAUGCAGUGUGUGUGUGUAUGCAGUGUGUGUGUGUGUGUGUGUAGUAUGUGUAUGUGUGUGUGUGUAUGUAUGUAUGUAUGCAGGGUGUGUGUGAGUGUGUGUAUGUCCGUGUGUGAGAGUGUGUAUGUCCGUGUGAGUAUGUGUGUGAGUGUGUAUGUAGUGUGUGAGUGUGUAUGCAGUGUGUGUGUGUAUGCAGUGUGUGCAUCUGACCAGUAUGUGUGCAGUGUGUGCAUCUGACCAGUGUGUGUGUGUGUAUGUAUGUCGUGUAUGUGUGUCUGUAUGCAGUGUGUGUGUGUAUGUAUGCAGUGUGUGUGUGUGUGUAUGUAUGUAUGCAGUGUGUGUGUGUGUGUAUGUAUGUAUGUAUGCAGUGUGUGUGUAUGUAUGUAUGUAUGCAGGGUGUGUGUGAGUGUAUGUCCGUGUGUGAGAGUGUGUAUGUCCGUGUGAGUAUGUGUGUGAGUGUGUAUGCAGUGUGUGUGUGUGUAUAUGUGUGUGUGUAUGCAGUGUGUGUGUGUGUGAGUGUAUGUCCGUGUGUGAGUGUGAGUAUGUCCGUGUGUGUGUGUUAGUGUGAGUGUGAGUGUGAGUAUGUAUGUGUAUUUUGCACAUUUGUCCAUGAGUGUGUGUGUGUGUACUUGGUUUAUAACCAUGAUAUUACAAUGUGAAUGUUUUGUAUUGUGUGGGGUUGAUGCUGAAUUACAAUUUUUUGUGGUUGUUGGUUGCAGAGAAGAGGAGCAUAAACGGAAGGCUAAGGCUAAGGCUACUGCAUUACAGGUGUCCUUUAAUUUCCCUCUUCACAUGCAAUGCCUAGCAAUGAUAGCAAUCCUCAUACUAGUGUUCUUAGACACAUGUUUAUAGAUGUAUAAGAGUAGAACAUUUUGAAUAUGAUGCCUCGGGUUAAUGAUAACUUUUUUUUUUCAACGCCACCUGUAUAUUUGUUGCUCGGGUUAAUGAUAACUUUUUUUUUUUCAACGCCACCUGUAUAUUUGUUGCCUCGGGUUAAUGAUAACUUUUUUCUUUUCAACGCCACCUGUAUAUUUGUUGCCUCGGGUUAAUGAUAACUUUUUUUUUUCCAACACCACCCGUAUAUUUGAUGCCUCGGAUUGUGACUUCGCUAAUUACUUUGAUCUAGUUCAUUUCGUAUCAUAAUCACUUCAUUUCCAUCACCCUUAAUAACAGUAAAUAUUACAUAUAUAAUGUCCUUAAUUUGUUUUUUGUUUUUUUUUUGUUUGGAUAGAUAUGGAUCGAAUGAAGCUUUUAUUGAUCUUAUUGUUAGAGAUGUCUUAUUUGGAGACAAUUUGCAUUUGUACGAUUCUUGUGUUGAUGAUGCUACGUGGCAAACAGAGACAUGUUGAACGACCCACAUUGACUAACCGUUCACUUAUUAGACGAGAGAUUAGUUUGUGUUAUCUGAAUGGUAUAAUAGGGAAUACUGAUAUUGAAUGUGUCAACGAAUUGAGAAUGGAUAGAAGGACUUUUGGCAUAUUAUGUGACUUACUUCGUCAAGAUGGGAGGGUAAAAACUGAUGGUUUGGUGUCUGUAGAGGAGCAGGUGUGUAUGACUUUACAAAUAUUAGCACAUCAUACUAAGAAUCGUAGUGUUGGCGGUAGAUUUUAUAGGUCGGGAGAGACUAUAAGUAGGUAUUUCAAUAUCGUAUUGCAAGGAAUUUUGCGAUUACAAGGUAUCCUACUAAAAGUCCCUCAGCCUGUGCCUAUUGAUUCUACAGAUCCUAGGUGGCGAUGUUUUAAGGUAUGAUGAGAAUUUUUUUUCAUUUUCCCUAAGCUUUAACUCUUCAUUCCCUUUGUAUAAAUUAACAAAAACUUUUUUUUUUUUUUUUUUUUUAAGAAUUGCUUGGGAGCAUUGGAUGGAACACACAUUGAUGUGCAUGUACCUGAAAUUGACAAACCAAGAUACCGAACAAGAAAGGGUCGAGUCGCAACUAAUGUGUUAGGUGUGUGUUCAGGAGAUAUGUAGUUCAUAUAUGUGUUUCCGGGGUGGGAGGGUUCCGCAUCAGACUCUAGAGUGCUACAUGAUGCAAUUACUAGGCCUAAUGGUUUUAAGGUACCAGCGGGUAAGACUAUUACUUAGUCUCAACUUUGUAAGUUAGGUCUAGUUCUGUUUGUCAACUACAAAACACUAAUAAGGUCUGUUUUUUUUUUUCAUUAGGUUAUUAUUACCUUGUAGAUGGUGGUUAUACAAAUGGUGAAGGAUUCCUUGCACCCUAUAGAGGAAUACCUUAUCAUUUAUCUGAAUGGGAGGGACGAACACCUUCUAAUAAGGAAGAAUAUUUUAACAUGAAGCAUUCUAAGGCAAGGAAUGUAAUUGAAUGCUGUUUUGGCUUGCUAAAAGGAAGGUGGUCGAUACUAAGGAGUCCAUCUUUCUAUCCGAUAAGGACACAAGGUCGAAUAAUUACCGCUUGUUGUCUACUACACAAUCUUAUUAGGCAAGAGAUGUCUGUAGAUCCAAUGGAGAAUUUGCCAAUAAUAGAAGAUGGACAAAAUACAAAAGAAGGUGAAUAUGUUGGUAGUGUUCAAACAUCUGACCAGUGGACUGCAAAGAGGAAUGACAUGGCUCAGGAAAUGUAUAACGAGUGGAGAGCAAUUAGGAACUAGCAACCGAACUAGCUAUAUGUGUUAAUGAUAACAUUUUAUUUUAGUAUUCCUUUUUAUCAUGCAUUUGUUAGAUAUUAGCACAAUGAUUGGAUGGUAUGCAAAUUAAUUGGAUAUUAUGCAAGUUGAUUGGAUAUUAUGCAAGUUGAUUGGAUAUUAUGCAAAUUGAUUAUUUGUAUGGUAUUUUCCUUCAUUAAAAUAUUUUUUGUUUAGGUAUGGAUAACGAAAAUAUUUUGAAUGCUACUCAAGAGCCAAAAGGAAGAAGGCGUAAAUGGGAAGCAUUUGAGGAAGAAGUAUUACUAGGAGUUCUUGAGGAUUUUGUUGCUCGGAAGCAACGGUGUGACACCGGUGCUUUCAAACAAGGUACUUUGGUUGAAAUAGCAAAAGCUGUCAAUGUUUUAUGUCCUCAUUCAAAUAUAAAGGCAAAUCCACAUAUUGAGUUCAAGUUGAAGAAAUGGAAAAAAACAUAUAGUAUGGUCGUUGACAUGAUAAACACAAGUGGAUUUGCAUGGAAUGAUGUCAAAAAGUGCGUUGAAGUUGAUAGUGAUGACUCAUGGCAAACUUAUGUGCAGGUUCAUAUCCUAUUUUAUUUAUACAUUAGUUAUAUUAUUGCUGCUAUAUUUGUCACGCAUGCUAAAUUUUAGUUUUGCUAUGUUGAUAUAAUCUUAGAGAAAUAAAGAAGCCGAUGGAUGGAGAAUCAAACCUUUUCCACUGUUUGAUAGAUUUGCAUAUAUAUUUGGAAAAGAUCGGGUUACGGGUAAUGUAGCCGAAACCCCUGCUCAAAUGGUGGAGGAACAAAGUCAUGAUCAUGUUGGUGAAAGUGAUAUUGGAGGUGAAAAUUUUGUUUCUUCAAUGAACCAACAAAGCCAACAAAGCACCCCAUCUGAAAAUAGCCAAAGAAAGAUGAAAAGAGCUGUGGGAAGUUCAAGUGAUGGAACCGAGGCAAUUAUCAGUGGACUGAAAGAUUUUUAUGUUGAAAGUGGGAAGAGGAUGCAAAUGGUAACUGAAGCUUUAGUUCAAGGUACUGCAGAUCAUACUGACAUAGCUAAUGAACUUGAAGCAAUGGGUCUCUCUCCUAUGGAUCAAAUUGAUGCAUUGUCUCUUAUUUUGGAUAAACCAAAAAAUGUGGGAGUGUUCAGGGCAAUCAAACCGGAACUUAAGAAAGUGUUCGUCCAAAGGUUUUUAAGCGAUAACGCAAGCGGAUGAGGAUUUUGGCUAAUGUUAACAUGGAUGUAUUUUAUUAAUGUUAACAUGGAUGUAUUUUAUUAAUCAUAAAAUCUUAUGUUAUGGCUUAUAACUUAGUUUUGCACUAGUAUUUUGACUUAUGUUAACUAGCCAUUUUGUAAAUUAUGGAGAUCUAUUUUGGCUAAUGUUAACUAAUGUUAACUAGGAUUUUCUAAAUUAUGGAGAUCUUCUUAUGUACUUGUAUUUGUUGAAGUUGCAUGUAUUGGGCACUAUUAUUUUUCUUCUGUUGGGUGAUAGAGUUUAAAUCAAGCUACAUUUGCAAAUUAAACCCAAUUCUAUUAGCAGGUAAUAGAAACAAAACAAUUGUCAAUUUUUUUUAAGAUUCAUAAUAUACAUGGCAAAAAUAUGCUCCAAUUAACCCAUAUCAUGAGAUUUGUAGCAUUACUCUAUUACACAAUGGCAAAAAUUUGUAGUCCUAGUCUAAGCAAACACAAAUCUGGUGAACAGUACUGUUUUUCUUAUCCUGCUUCUUAGUCCGACAUUACACCAAACGCUUCACUAAGUUAGUCCAGCUUAGUCCAGUCUAAGCCAGUCCAGUUUAGUCCCGGCAGCUAGUCUAGUCCGAGACAGUCCGGCGCAAUAAACGCACCCUUAAGGAAAUACUAGGAAUUACUUUCCAAUGCCUGCAAGUUCUCAUGGCAUCGGUGAAUAUGAUCAAAAUUUCACUUGAAAUUUCAGUAGGGGGAAGUUGAUGGUCAAGAUCAUGCUUUUUGCUUCGAUGGAAUUCCUAAAACCAUAGAUUCCGAUUAAGCAACAUCUCUAAGGCAUUGUCUUAGAAUUAAAUUGUCUAAAAAACAACUAAAUUAUGUAGAUUAAAGUCAAACACCAAACCUCAUGAAAAACUUUUGGUGUCCUGAUGACAUUUGAAGGUCCUGCAAAAAGCUUCUGCAACUAAGAUAAGCAAAUCCUGCCUGUGGCUUGGAAAUUUGAUAUCGAAUUUCGUAUUGUAAGAAUAGUUACAUAUACUGGUGAAUUAGAAUAUCAAUCGAAUAUUGAUUAGUACGCAAUCUAUCGAACAACACUUGAAAAUGAAAACGGCUAUUCUGGCUCAAGGGCAAGAAUAUAAGGUUAGUAUCAAUCAAUAAAUUGGAACAACUUCAUAAGUAUAUUUUAGAUAUAUAAAUUUAAAGGAUCUAAUUCGAUAAAAUUUAAAAGUUAAUUUUGUUGGAAUCGAUAAUAACCAUGAUAAUAACACAGUUUUGCUUUCUUUCCAAGUCCAACAACAAUUCAUAAUUUCGUAUGUAUAGCUGCAAUAGAUCUAUGUCUGGAUGAUUAAGAAUUGAAGGGAAUUCGCGAGAAGUGGUAAAGUCAUUUUCAAUCAAGGAUAGUAGUUGUAUAGUAUUGUCCCAAUCCCAGCAAAUAAAGCUUUUCUAGUCCAAGAUCGGACAAUAAUAACACACUAGUCAAGCAGGUUAUGAUUUAACUUCAAUAAGUAAACUUCUGAUGAUACAAUUAUAUCAGUGAAAAAAUUAUGUAUCUUGCUUUCUCGAUCAUUAUCCGAAUUAAAUCACAUGAUCUACCAUUUAUGUGGUCUCCGUUAAUUUUAUUGAGUUUCAUUUUUACGAAUCUACUUUUUAAGCGAGCUACUUAACGCGUUACUAAACUUAAACUUGAAGUUUUUCUUCGAUUAAAAAAAAUCCAAUGCUAUUAGAAGUGCAGAUUUCAGUUGGAGGAGGAAAAGUAGGUAUUGACUGGGUAAAAGUUGUCAGACUCCAUAAAGCACGUUUCAUGUUCCAACUUUUAAGUUUUUGGGAUCAAAACAAAAGUCACUGAAACAUCCCAUGUGAAACUUAUACUCUAGUAGCAAGCAAAACUAGUACUCUAGUAGCAAGCAAAAGUAGCUCAUCCCCACAAUCCAAACUAUUUCUUCUUUUUUAUUUCAUUUCAGAUUUGCAGACUUAUUUCUUAAGAAACAUCAUUUAAUUUCUAUACUAGACCCAAAAGCAAUACGUGUAAAAAGAAGAACAAAACUUCCUUCCAGUAUUGUUCGUUUUAAUGAAAAAGGAAAAUUUUAUUAUAAAAAGUCACUUAUGCCACUAGUACUACGGUCUAGUGGUAUUUAUCUUCACUGAUAAGUGAGAGGUCUUAGGUUCAAAUCUCGUCAAAGGCGAAUUUGCACCAAUUUAUUGCUAGCCCAUUAUGAGGUUAAGUCCAACCCCUCCCCUUAGUGUAGAUAAUAUCGAUUAUUCAAAAAAAAAAAAGUCACUUAUGACACUAUUUAUAUGCAACACCUUUUUGUCAUUUUGAUUAAAACUCAAAGUUUUCAAACCAUUUUCAUUAGUUUUCUUAUAAAAAAAUCCCACAGCAACUAACACUAUCGCUGCUAGUAGAUAGUUUUGGAAGUGUGGUGCUAUCACUCACACCUCUUUUUAUUUUGUAUACAAUGCUCUCAAUUUUUUACCGUUAAAUUAAAUGCAUUGAAAAUAAUCAAAUGAUAAAAAUUAGCAAAAAGUGUAUGAAAAGUUAAAUAAGAUGGAUGGAUAGUACCACGCUUUUAAAAAAAAAAAUCAUAUCUUAACUUGUUUUACUUGAGCCCCAAAAAGAAGCCUGGCGUUUGAAUUCUGUUUCCCUCAAGACUUAAUCGUAUCUUAACUAAUCACUCCUUAAUAAAUAAAAAAAUUAAAAAAAAAAGAGAAGGAAUAUUUUAGAUGCGAUUCCUAAUCUUUAAUAUUAUUUGAUUAAAACCUUAAUGGUUUUUAAAGUUUGAUCAAAGUCCCUUGACUUUGUACACCUCAUUAUGUUACUAUUAAUAUUUAUAUUUUUAUAGUUUUGACAUUAAUUGUUUGAUAUUUUAUGAGAUUUAUAAUCCUAUAAAUUUAAAGUCUCUCAUUAUAAUACUAUUAGAAACUGUUACAAUAAAUAAAUUCAAACAUUUUGAUUGAAUAAAUGGAUAUAAACUAUGUAACAAUAAGAAAUAAUAAAUGACAAAAGAAUGUAUCUAUAGUGUUAAAAAAAUUGAUAUAUUUUACAAAAAAAUUAUACAUUUCACAUAUAACAAAGUGGUACAUUAAUACAGAAGAAUUAAUACAGAAGAAUGAGUACAUUAUGACCAUGGCUGAGUUGGUAGGCGGAGCUUUUCUCUCUUCUUUCCUCUCUGUUUUGUUCGACCGGAUAGCUUCCCGUCCCGUCCUCGAUUUCAUCUCUGGGAAGAAAAACGAGCUGCUCAUGAGAGAGUUGAAGCUCAAGUUGCUCACCGCUGACAAGCUGGUUGACGAUGCCGAGGAGAAGCAGAUGACAAGCCCGACCGUGAGGAAGUGGCUCGACGAUCUCAAAGAAGCUAUCUACUGUGUAGGAGAGUUGCUGGACGAGAUCAAAGCUGAAGCUCUUCGACGCCAGCUGGAAGGUGAGGAUGACCAUUCUCCUGCAGCUAGCAGCAGCACAAGCGGGAUCUCGAGAUCAGAGUCCAACCCUUCUUCUCCGUCCGAUGAAUUUCAGAUUCCAACCGACUUCCCGAUCCCUCCCAUGCCCACCAUGGGAAGCACUCCUAUCUUAGGGCCAGUCGGAUCAUUCAAACGUAAUGCUUCAAGGAUCCUUUUUUUCUCCUUUUUCCUUCCGAAGACGGCAGACUCAUCGAUCCGCGAAGUAGUUUGACGAGUUCUUUCUUGUGGCCUAUGUUGAACUCCUUCUUUCAGACCAUGAACGUCUCUUUCAUUGAGAAUGAGGUUUAACACCUCAGAAUGUUUGAUAUCUUCGGUUCAAGAGAGUUGUGAAAUUCAUCGGACGGAGAGGAAGGGUUGGACUCUGAUGAAUUUCACAACUCUCUUGAACCGAAGAUAUCAAACAUUCUGGGGGUAUUAAACCUCAUUCCCAAUGAAAGAGAUGUUCAUGGUCUGAAAGAAGGAGUUCAACAUAGGCCACAAGAAAGAACUCGUCAAACUACUUCUCGGGUCGAUGAGUCUGCCGUCUUCGGAAGGGAAAAUGACCAAAAAAAGGAGCCUUGAAGCAUUACGUUUGAAUGAUCCGACUGGUCCUAAGAUAGGAGUGCUUCCCAUCGUGGGCAUGGGAGGGAUCGGGAAGUCCACCCUUGCCCAACUUGUGUACAAAGAUGUCAAGGGUGACUUUGAUGUCCAAGCAUGGGUUUUUGUCGGAGUAGAAAUUGAUAUUCUUCAAAUAGCACAAACGAUACAUGGGAAGAUCACAAAAAACCCUUGCACGAUCACAGAUCUGGAUCUGCUUUCUGAAGAAUUGGAGGAGGUUUUGACAGGAAAAAAGUUCCUCUUCGUUCUUGAUGAUGUCUGGAGUGAGGAUUAUCUUCUCUGGAAUAACUUGAUGACUCACUUCAAUAGCUGCGGAGGGAAUAUCCGAGGACGAUUCUUGGUUGUUAUUUGCAAAGCAUGCCUUCACGGAAGACAGUGUUAUUACUGCCCAUCCGUAUCUUGAAGUCAUUGGAAGGAAAAUUGUUAACAAGUGUCAAGGCCUUCCUUUAGCUAUAAAAUCAUUAGGGGGCCUGUUACACUCUGUUUUGAAUCGAAGGGAAUGGGAAAAGAUAUGGAAGAGCGACUUAUGGGAGUUGCCAAAUUAUGAGGUUUUGCCAGCUCUACGGUUAAGUUACCAAUAUCUACCUCCGCAUCUCAAACGUUGUUUUGCUUAUUGUGCAAUAUUUCCUAAAGGUUACAACUUUCAACGUUCAACGUUAAUUUCAUGGUGGAUGGCUGAAGACCUCUUACACCCCACGGGAAGGAGGCAAUGGAAGAUGUUGGAAGUGAUCACUUUGAUAUUCUAGUAUCAGGGUCUUUCUUUCAACAUUCAUUAGACGAGUUGGGUAUGUUAUGUUUCACCAUGAUUUAGCAAAGUUUGUAGCUGGAGAAUUUUGUUUAAGAUUGGAGGAAAAUCAGCCGCCCAACAAAAAUUUAUGCAAAACUCGUCACUUUGCAUUCAUGGAAUUUGGAGGUCAUGACAUUCAGAAAUUUGAGGCGCUGGAUGAGGCUAAGCACUUGCACACCUUUCUACAACUUGAAGGAGGCUACAAAGACUGCAAUAAGUUGGUAUUGAACUACACACUUGUUGAUUUAUUACCAAAUCUACCAUGUUUAAGAGUGAUCAAGUUAUCAUGUUGUGAUAUCGUUGAGUUGCCUAGCUCAAUUGGCAACUUAAAACACUUAAGGCAUUUGGACGUGUCGUACACUAAAAUAAGAGAAUUACCUGCGACGGUGUGCACCUUGUACAAUUUACACACCUUGUUAUUGUAUUUUUGUCUUGAGCUGAUUCAACUACCAACCAAUUUGGGAAGGCUAAUCAACUUGCGCCAUCUCAACAUCCGAGAAACAGAGAUCAAAGAGAUGCCUGCAGGGAUGUGUAAAUUGAAAAAUCUCCAAACAUUAAGCGAUUUUGUGUUGGACAAACAAACAGCUCAAAGGAUUGGAGAGUUAAAAGAGCUUCAGCAUUUGCGCAGAAGCCUUAAAAUCUCAGGAGUUGGUAACGUUAAGGGGAAUGCUUUGGAGGCAGAUAUCAUGAGCAACAAGGAGAAUCUGAACCUACUUUUCUUGAUAUGGGGAAGAGCUUAUGAUGCUAGUAAUCAUGAUCCAGAAAAUGACAGAGAAGUGCUCAACAAGCUCCAACCUUAAACAACUUAUAAUUAGGUCUUACGGGGGUUUAACAUUUCCAGGUUGGUUAGGAGAUCCGUAUUUCUCUAAACUAUCUCGUAUUGCACUUGGUGAUUGCAAGCAUUGCUGCUUAUUGCCACCACUUGGGCAACUACCCUCCCUCAAAGAGCUUCAUGUUCUAGGGAUGAAUAACGUGGUUGAGAUUGGUAGCGAGUUUUACGGUAACGAUACUUGUGGGAGUGCUCCAUUUAGAUCUCUACAAGAAUUGCACUUGGAAGAUAUGUUGGAGUGGGAAAAGUGGUCCUAUUACGAUGGAAGCAGAGGCAACACCACAAUAAUGUUUCCUAAUCUUCGUGAGCUUGAAUUGAGAAAUUGUCCCAAGCUGACUGAGAUAUUACCGUUGGAGAAGCUGCAAAGUCUUGAAAGUGUAAAAUUGAAUGGUCUGGAGUCCUUUAGUGGUUCACUUGCACAUGUGGAAUCUAAAUGCCCUAAAUUCCUUUCCCUCGUUCACUUGGAAAUGGUCGACUGCCCAAAUUUUGUAUGUUUUCCAGAUGGAGGGAUGGAUGCGCCCAAAUUGGAGGAGCUGCUUAUCUAUCGAUGCAAGAAAUUGAGGUCGUUGCCAGAACAAAUGCAUACCUUUCUACCGUCUCUUCAGAAAUUGAUGGUAAUUGGCUGUCCAGAAGUGGAAUCAUUUCCUCAAGGAGGGCUGGCGUCAAAUAUACAAGACCUUUUUUUUAGUGUUGUAGAAAACUCGCUGCAAACCGCUCACUGUGGGGUUUAACAAGACUCAACUCUCUUAGAAUGUUGGAAAUCAGUUUCAGUGAAGAAGGUGGAGAAGAAAUGGGAUGUUCGUUUCCGGAAGAGGGUUUGCUGCCCGCCACUCUCACUAGUCUCUCCAUCCGCUUUCAUCCAAAUCUUACAACCAUCCAAGGCAAGGUUUUGAGACAACUCACCUCUCUUGAAUACCUCAGAAUAGAAGGAUGCCCUGAGCUCCAGGGCUUUACAGAAGUAGCGCCCAAAUCUCUGAAAAGGUUGGCUAUUUUGGAGUGCCAUAAUAUCGGGUGCUUGCCAGGAGAAUGGCUUCCCACAUCUCUUUCUCAUCUGCUUAUCAAAGAGUGUCCGCUGUUAAAAGAACGAUUCCGAAGAGAGACAGGGGAAGAUUGGCCCAAGAUUUCUCACAUCCCCCGUAUAAAUAUAGAAUAGAUGUUCCUGAAAUUGGUACUUGCCGAAUUCUCUCUCAAGUGUGUGCGUGCCUAUAUGUAAUAUAUGUACGAAACACUUUAGUUGGGUACUUUUUCUGAUGUUUUUUUUUUCCUUGCGCGUUUGAUUUGUGCUUCUAGUCCAGGCUCCAGCAGCAUAUGCUCUUGUUGUUUCGUGUUGAAUUUGUCACAAACUCUUCCUAAUGCAACAACAAAAAUGGAGCUGGUAUAGCCUUUGCUGUUUUGCGGUAAAGUAGUACUACGUACGUAUUCGCAAGAUGAUUACUAGGCUAAAACAAGAGCAAAUUUGGAUAAAAAAUGCUAUUUCUACCAUCUAGUUGUACUAUCAUUCGUGCCGUCUCUCUAAUAGAGAAGAGACUCGCAUGUGUUGGUGGACCCUCCUCUAUUAGAUUUCAUGAUUCACUAACGAAAGCUCGAAGCACCCUAUUUUCAUCCUCAGCUCGUCAAAGCAACCUAUUUUCAUCCUCAGCUCGUCACACCUUUUUCAAGGGGUUUGCUUCUGAAACUCCUAAGCAGGUUCAUAGAGGCGUAACAUGUGCCCAUCAAUACAUCGUAUGGCAGCAACCUGUUACACAAUAGUCUUAUCGUAAUCUUUGCAACCAGCAUGGUGAUGAUAUACAAAUAAAUUAUCGAAAUUGUUUCGUUUAAAAAUUCGGUGAACACGUAGCCAUGGACUUCACAUUGCCAUGGACUCACUCGUUUGACACGGUGAUCAAAGCCAAGGCUACUGUUGAUAGAGUGCCUAAUUGCAGGAACAAGGUUACCUGUGCUGACAUUUUGGCCUUGGCCACAAGGGAUGUUGUGAAAUCCCUUUCCCAGCAUUCAGGUCCAUCGGAAUGUGUCCGUGCUAGACUAAAUGCAAGGACUGUCCUUGUGUAAAUUUUGAGCGAACGAAUGAUAUGGCACGAAAGUCCAUGUCCAAGACUCCAAACGAUCGUGAUUUGGAGUUAAAGCAGAUUCCCUUAUUAGUAAAACCCAUGAACAAGUCAGAUUAUUUUACAGACAUGAGAAAACCCAAGAGAAAAAGUUGCCACCUUUUCACACAACCAAAAAUUUCAGGGGAAAAUAAAACACAUACUAAUAUUGGAUCCUUCCUUAUUUCUUGUUUUUAGUCUCCUACUCUGUACAGUAAUAAUGCAAAAGCAUAUGCAACAGCCUUCACAUUGAAAAGCCGAUAUGUGAGUAAAAACAACCAAACCGUAAACUUCAUGUUAUUUGGCUACAAAUGAGGAGAAUCCUCUGGCCAAAUUUAACAUCAAAAGUAAACUAGUUGCAACCUAAUCUAAAGACACAAGGUUAUUGCUAAGCGCUUCAUCAUCAUCGUCAUUAAUUUUUGCUACUCGCUCGUCACUUGAAGGUACAAACUUAAGUCUCUCUGUGUGUUUCCCUUUUGAAAAGCUCAUCAAACUGUAUAAUGUUGUUGAAUUGUAUCGAUGUCAAGUCCUUUCAGCUUCACAACUGACUCAACAUGACCCUUCAGCGUAUGCAACUCCCGAAGCCUGCAACCAAAACGAAAAGCUCUUUUAGAACUCAAUUCUCACGUGGAACAAGUCCAACCAGCAAAGCAAAACAAUGCAAGAUGAAGCAUUUUCCAGGAAACAAGAAACAGAACCGGCAGACAUCAUUACGGAGACAAGCCUGAUUCUAAAUCUAUGUAUGAGUGCAAACGGUCCUUACCUUGCAACCUCAGCCCUCCGCUUGGCUUGUUCUGCAAUCUCAGAAAGCUCCCUGUAGCUGUUCUUCUCAUAGAAAAGGUUGUUCAUUUCAGGUGGCUGAAGGCCGUGAAGGGUCCUCUGUGCUGCAGCCCACUGUGCUUCUCUCUCCUCUUUCCCAUAAUCUUUCUUUGUAGUGAAGGCAGUCUGGUGGGAAGACACAAUAAGGUAAAUUGUGGCAAGAAACAUGAAUCUAACUUAUAUUGUUGGGUAGCGCGGAAUGCAACAUACCUUGUUCUCCAAAAGAUUAUUCCACGCCUUUCCGCUUUGAAUGUAUCGGAUUGCGAAUUUAAGAAAGUCACGAGGGACAUAUGUCACUAUACUGUAAAGCCACAUGACACCAGCCCACCCCUAGCCAGCUCCCUUUAUCCGUGCAAAACCCCAGUUUGCAUAGACUGCCAUUUUGCGGAAUGAGUUAUUUAAAAAAAAAAAAAAAAAAAAAAAAAAAGGAAAAUUCUUUUGUCAUACACAUACGAGAGCAACCAAGUAAAAUAUCACACAGGUUUUUAAGCUUGCUAACGGAGUAAAAUUCUUACUUUCAAAAUGUACAAAUUUCUAGAUUAAUUGUCUUAACAUUAUUGGAAAUUACUACAACUUUUAAAACCUUAAGCAUCCAGUUGAGCAAUUAGGUAAAAUUAUAAAGGUAAUCAGUUUGCUUACCAAUUGAGCAAUCAUGAAAGCUCCAAAUAAGAGAAGUCCAGGGCGUUCAACAAAAGACCAGCUACGAGACCUUGUGAUGAAAAUAAGGGCUUGGCUCACAAUACUCACUUGUAAGUACAACACCGCCAUCGCUCAGGCCUAUCCCUCAAAGAUCUCACAUGAAACUUGUCCUGCAUUAUGAAAAUAAUUAAAUAAAAUCAGAAGAAUGAACUUAUUUGCCCAAAUAACUGUGACCUAAAUAGCUUAUAUAUUAAUGGAAAACAAAGAACUGUAUAUUCCCACCGAGAAGAAGUCGGUAUCAUUCAUAAGCCAGAAGAAGACUACUGUCAUUAGUGCCAAGUAACCUCCAAGGACAAUGCCAGUAGCAAAGAUCUCCCUCAAUUUCCAGCUGUCUGGUUGUGGAGAUGGCUUCACUCGAUCCUUUGAUAUUGUCAUGAUAGUUCCUAGCAGAAUCGUAAAAAAAACAAAGUCAGACUCAUUUCUCAUUGAGGAUUGUCCGAUGGUUUCCAAUGCAGGAUCUUAUCAUUGAGGAUUGUCCGAUAGUUUCAGAGCGCUUUGAACAAGGCAGUGGAGACGAGUGGCCCAAGAUUUCUCACAUCCCAAACAUCGUACAUAAGAAGUGAUUUGUAGCAGGGCAAGGAACUGAUGAGUGAGAAGCAAGCCAAGUCUACCAUUGUCAUCUCCCGGUAAUAUCCGAGCUUUAUAUUAUUUAGAAGUUACGUUGCAUCAAUUGUGGCUAUCAUCAUAUUUGUUUUGCUUGGUUUCUUCUUCUAUAUAUAUAUAUAUAUAUAGGGAUAGGAUCAAGGGACAAAUAUUUUUACACUAUUUUUAAGCCUUUUGAUGACAUGACAUCCAAUGAUUCUUAUUUAUUCAUUAAAUGACAUAAAUGCUUAUGUGGAUUUUAACUAAUAUUAAAGAUUAAAAAAAAACUGAAAAAAAAAAAUCUGGAAAAUUAAAACUAAAAUUAAAAAAAAGGAAGAAACCUUAACUGAAAUCUAAACUUAAUAUUAGAAUUUAGGGUUUCGGUUUCGCAUUCACACAUUCUAUCUUAUUCCCUAGCUUGAUUUUUUUUAGGAUUAAGUACCUAAAAUUCUCCAACUUUUUAGUGUAAUUCUAAAUUGGUCUCAACCUUUUUAAACAUUCCAAGCAAGUACUCAACUUAUUGAAAAUGUCACAUUCGUUAAGCCUCAUUGAAAUUUUUGUUAGAUUAACUAAGGCAUACUUUGUCUCUAACAUCAAUAAGAAUAUCAUGAAAGCAUGGCCUCCACUAAUUAAUGGUCACUACCACCCCUUUUAGGCCAUAACCUCCAAACCCUGCAUACAACCACAAACUUCACCCUACAACUCAAGCUACCAAAAUCGAGAAGAAGGUCAUGGAGGUUGCUGAAAUGGUAUGAACUGUCAUGAUGCAGCUGCCACCAUCUUCACCGCCCACAAAGAAGAACUCGAAACUUUACUAGCUAGAGAUCGACAAAUGAGGAAUUCACAUGAGCAUAAACAAGCUCAUUGAAACCCUAUAUGAAUUUUUAACCCUCUUCCUUGUUAGAAGAUUUCCCAGUCUUCAUUUUUUUCAUUUAAUUCGUGAAUUUGUUUAUUUUUUUUAUUUUUUUUCAUUUUCAUGUCUUUUUUUUUAUGAUUUUUUUUGUUUGUUAUUAUUUUAGUGUCCAAGUAAGCAAAUAAGUGGAACCUAUUAUUGCCACAUGUACAUUUAACGGAAAAGUUAACUGUGACUUAAUGGAUGCGACAUUGUCAAUAGGUUGAGUACUUGUUUGGAGUGUUUAAAAAGGUUUAUACCAAUUUGGAAUGGUACUUAAUCCUUUUAUUCUAAUGUAUUCAAUUUAAUGACAAAAUAUAAAUGUAUAUUAUAUAUUAUCAUGUUAAUCGUGCUUCGCAAUUUGACACUUAUGCUGAUGUGUUAAAGAAAUAUGUUCUUAUCACAAACCUGACUCGAGAAGGCACAACUAAAACCCUUAAGUUUUUCAAGCAAAAUCAUAUCUUGUUAUCGUCCUCAUUUGGUGGCUUGACUUAGAUUGAACUAUUUUAGAUUUAAUCUAGUAUCAACACUUAUGUUUAGUGAACUUGUAUACGCUAAGACAAGAUUUUUCAAAUUGGACAAUGAUCCAAUAUAUUAUUAUGUCUUACAAGUCUCAUCUGUAAUUGUGUGACUCAAAAGGAUUGGUUUAGGGUUGGCGGAGUUCUUGAAGGCCCAAUUGCCUGUUGUUGGUGGUUCUGCCCGUCCCCAGAUUGUCGGGUGCCCCCGCCCCCAGGACACAUCAAGGUGAACGUAGACGGUUCUUGGAAUGAGAUUUCUAAUCGUAGUGGUGUAGGCAUCAUUGCGAGGAAUUUCCAUGGUGAUUUUGUUGCUGCGCGGGUUGCUCGUUUCGAGAGUGUGUUUCUCCCCGGCUCAUAUUGAGGCUUUGGCGGUGAGGGAAGGUCUGUCGUUGUGUGUGUUCCUUGUUGAAAGGGGCUAUCAAAAUUUCAUUUUAGAAAGUGAUACCCUCCAUAUCGUGACGGCUUUAUGUAAGCCUUCGGUUAAUAGGUUCUUCAUCGGUCCUGCUAUCGAGGAUGCUAAAGCUAUUUUUGUCUUCGAUCGCUGGAGGUUCUUCUACCCAUGUUCGACGACAGGCUAAUGAAAUGGCCUACCAACUCACUAAGCUUGCCCUUCAUUGUGAGGUUCUCCGGUCUUAGUUCGAGGAACCUCUAGAUGUGUUAACUGAUCAUUUUGUGUUGGAUUGUAAUGGUUGAUAGUUAUUGAGAGGGGCUGUUUCUUGCUCCCCUCCCUCAGAUGUAAUGGUUGUUAUCAGGCUUCUUUUGAUCUAAUGAAAUGCUCUAUCGUUGCUCUUCAUAAAAAAUAAAAACAACUCUAAUUAUAUAAAGAGCUUGUUUUGAAUUGUUUUUAAAAUGAUUAAAAACGUUUCUAGUAAAAAUGAUUUCGAACCAAUCUUUAAUAAAAAUGAAGUGAAUACUAAAAAAACACUUUAAGUAUUUUCUAAAAAAAAACACCAAUUAUGUGUCAGCACUUGAAGUGCUUCAAAAACCUAAAAAUAUUUUUUCUAAAAACGUUUCAAUAAUUUUAAAAGUACUUUCAAAAGAGUCUGAAGUCUUUACCAUAAAGCAAAUGAUUUUGCCAUGACUCAAGAAGAAAAAGUAGAGAUAGAAAAGAACACCGACGGCUACAGGCUACAACACUAUGUUUUCGGUAGGUGAUGUGUCGAAAGUUUGGACCCGACUUCUCUGCCCUCUCACUUCCCAUGCACUCUCAUCCCCUCCUAUUAUGUGUGGUCACGGUUAAGCCACGUCAACAUUUUAUAUUGAUUUUUUUUAUAGAGAUAAUAAGACAAAAAUCAAUAGUAAUAUAAAAUGUUGACGUGGUUUAACCGUGACCACACAAAUAGAAGGGGAUGAAAGUGUAUGGGAAGUGGGAGGGUAGAGAAGCCAGGUCCCGAAAGUUUUGUUUUGCUGCCAACCUAGGAACUAGGGUUAGACCCUUGAUUUAGAGGUGGACAAACCGCCCUUGAUAUAGAGUGGAAUAUUCUCGACGCAAACACAGUGAAUAAUGUCUUCCUCUUUAACCCAAUAGGUCUUUAAUUUUAACUUUCAUUCCAUUAGUUUAGAUGAAUUAGUUUACGUUAUCCAAUCACUUGUAAAAGAAAAAAUAUUGGUCAAGUUAGGAUUAUGGUGCGCGAAUACGAGAGUGGAGGGUUCUGCAAUUCGUAAAAACUCAAAAUUUCUCAAUUUGAGAGCGGAAUGGAUUCAAAAAUUAAAAAAGUAUAAAACUAAUUAAAAAAUGUCCACUUCUUAUCUGUUAACAUGAGCAUUAUUAGCAACCCAACCCAAUUGAGUCUCCUAGUAUUUUUUGUUGAAAGGUACAAUUUAUUCAAUCAAUUAUAAUUGAUAAGUUUAUAUCCUCAGCAAGAAUGUUGAAAAGAAAAUCGGGACCUAUACAAUCUCAUAUAAAGGUUCCCCCUACAAAUUGAAUGAAAGUUGCCAUGUAUGGUCUCCUAGUUGACUGCCGUAUAAUUACCAUGUAUAGUCUCUUGUAUAUUACAUGUAUUUGCCUUCAUAACGGAUUAGAAUAAUACACAAAAAUUCUCAAAAUUUUGACAUGGUAACAGAGUGGGUUUUCAAAUCUGUUGUCAAAUUAUUGGGUUCACUUAUAAACAUUACCAAUGUAGCUCCACGUCUGACCCACUCCAAAGUGGUCCUACGUGAGGGGCGUGUUGAAUAAAGUAAAAGGUUUCACAUCGGCUAUCUUACCAAAAAAAUCACAACUUAUAUCAAAUGUUUCCACUUCUAAUUGUAUUGAGACCUUUUGCAUAGAAACAUCACACCUAUUGGUUGCACAGGUGAUUAAGUAAAGAUAGUAUCGAUGCUACUAGUAGUGUACCGUGACCAUCUCUCUGAAACUUUGACAUUAUCGUACCAUGCUUCAUAGGAUUGGUUUUUCAAUGGUUUAUAAGCUUCACAAUUGUCAAUUUGUUCUCUAAUCCCCUCCUCCCCGAGUCAAGGAGGUUCUUGUUCUUUGAAUGGAGAAGGCAUCCGCUUGAACAAAAGGAGAGGAAGGAUAAGCAUUGUUUGCAUGUCCAAUAUCCUUUCGGAGUAAUGACUUGAAGUGGACAUGCAUCAUCUUCAUCUACUUGUACCAAAACAAGCAAAAAAAACCCACAGAAAAUCACUCUCACAACACAACUCGAUGGAUGGACAAAGAAAGAGAGAGUGAGAGAGACCCAACUUGGUUUCCUUCCUUUUUAUGAUUUUCACCACCUUUGUGGUAACCCUACAUAGCUACUUGCAAUGUGGGGCUCGAUAUUGGAGUUUGAAAUAAGUUGUAAAUAGCAUAUAUAUGAGUAUGAAAUAAGUUGUAAACUCGGUCGAUAUCUAAGUUUGAAUUCUCAUAAGAAGGGGUGGGCAGAAAAACCGUUCAACCAAACCAACCACCAAACCAAACGGUAAAUAUCAAUUAAUGAUAAAAAGUACAUAUUUUAUGAACAUUUAAUUUGUUGGAAGCGUUCCAAUUGAACCUUCCCGACUUACGUUUAAAUCACAUGAUUAUGACUCAUAAGCGUAAUACCAUUUCAAUUUACCUAAGAAAUUCCGCACAAAACAAAUUAAAACGACUCAAAACCCACAUGAGCAUAUGAUACGACAAGACAUGAUUAACACAACUUUUCUCCUUUUUCAACGAGUACUAUGAAGUAUUCUAUAUUGCAAGUCAAUUUGUAAAUUCUGACUUUUGUUAAAUUCCAAGAUUAUUUUCCUCAUUCAAAUAUAACAUUGUAGUAAAUAUGAUUUCCAGUCCUUUCUAUUUCAUUGGUCCACCUUUCAUAGAAACCCAAAUAACUCUGAUAUUGACACAGAUAUGCUUUCUUUCUCUUCUUUCUGGAUUUUGGAGCUGAUUAUCUGGGAUUCUUGUUCGACUGCUAUUCUGAAGAGAAUCUCAACGCUGUAACUUAUAAUCAAUAAUGCGCGAAAAAAUUUUCUAUUCCAAAAGGGGACAAAUAUGAAAAUCACUGAAGGGACAAUAAGAACUCAUUCCCUCAAUCAAAUAUGCAAUCUCUUAUUUCCACUCUUGAGUCUCCACUUGGGAACAAGUGAUUCAGCGUGAAUGUUCUACGUUCUACUUUUACAUUGGUUUACGUGGGUUGAUCAUACCGAGCGAAAAGUCCCCGAUGUAAACAAAGAAUGCUAGAGCAGUUAAGGUGAUCAUUAAGACCGCCGUAGAGGAAGACGUAGGUUAGAAAUGUGAGGUAUGAGGUCUCCACCACCACACAAGUAAUCCUCGCUGCACAACUGGAAGUAGCAGAGGACGAUGGGAU